UUCAGUGCAUUAAUGAAGUGCAUUAGAAAAUCUGUUGAGCAGCCUUUUUGUCAGCCUUCUGCGAAGUGCUGUGGAGACUUGCAAUUUCUGUUCAACUUUUUUUAAAUCUUGCUGUCAUGUUUGUAUUGGUGUGCAGGAACAACCCACGAUGCACAGGUGCACAACAUGCCUUUAUCUGUAGUGUAGUGCAUCAUUCGACUGUGGUGUUGUAUAGCCACUGAGAUGGAUAGAGUGUCAGCAUCUGUUGUCUCAUGCAGAUGCCAUAACGCAGAUGCUGCAAAUGCCGUAGCACCUAGCGUCGUGUGCUAAUACAGAUUUGCAGAAGCUUUUUAGCAUUAUUUUGUCCCUGCUGGUUUCAGUAGCUACUACUUCGCUCCCUUCAUUGACAUUGAAAGCAAGAGGAAUCAGUAGGUCGCAAAGCUGCGAGGCACAAUGACCACAGAGCAGUGGCAGCUGAUGGCUUGCCUUCAACUUCUGUGACUAAAGUAGUAGCUGCUACGCAGUGACUACACAAACUCAUCAAAGGCAGUAUCACGACCACUUUCCGUUCACAUGAGGGGCUACCAAUGCAGCUUUUGGGCAGUGAGGCACUGCUUACAUUGUCGCUGUAUAGUAGCCAGAGGUGCAAUGCUUACCAAAGAUUUGCUUUCUCAUCUCACUUUCCUCCUCCACUAACAUCUCAGCACUUCUUCAGUAUCUUCCGUUGCUUUGCUAUCACUUUUGGUGGGCUUACUGCAGCUACAACAGACGGUGCAGUCAGUGAGCACUAUUUAGGAAGCGCAAAUAUGUUGAUUGAAGUAGCAACUGCACCAGCAUGAAUCUUAUAAAGGUGCACGAUGCAGUGGUGGCAGUCAUCUGCAUAAUGUACUAAGAUCCAAAGUUUGCAUGGCAAGAUUGUGUCAGUGUUAUGGCCAUCUAAUCCUGAGUUCCAACUUCUGAACUCGGAGCAUACGAAUUCAAAUUUCUGGGGUUACAACCUCACUAAUUAGCCUAUGCAGCUACAGAAGGUCCAUUCUAAAGUUCACGAGAGUGACCAGCUAGGCUGGUUUUCCUGCUUCUGGUUGAGACUGCAAAGUGUAAUAGUGGGAACUUUAUUUCUCCCUUCUCUCGCGUAUGUAAAGUUUUCGCUGGCACAGUAUACAGUGUCCAUCAUCCUGAAUGGGCCUUUGGGAGGUUUGUUUCGUCCUGACUGUCUCAUUCAUGCCAAGAGCC
rnacentral:lncRNA from 1 species